GUCCUCUCUCAGAGCCCGUCACCUCUGGACAGCCACUCUCAAUCUCCUGCAGGUCCAGUCAGAGCCUCCUACACAGUAAUGGAAUCACGUAUUUGAACUGGGUUGUACAGAAGCCAGGCCAGUCUCCCCAGGGCCUAAUAUAUCAGGUUUCCAACCGGUACACUGGGGUCUCAGACAGGUUCAGUGGCAGUGGGUCAGGGACAGAUUUCACACUGAGAAUCAACAGGGUGGAGCCUGAUGAUGCUGGAGUGUAUUACUGUGUGCAAAGUCUACAUGUUCCUCCCACAGUGGUGCA
rnacentral:lncRNA from 1 species